GACGAACGCUGGCGGCGUGCUUAAUACAUGCAAGUCGAACGGAAAGGCGCUGCUCUUGUUGGGUGCUCGAGUGGCGAACGGGUGUGUAACACGCGAGUAACAUGCCCUUGACUUUGGGAUAACUUCAGGAAACUGGGGAGAAUACCGGAGAGGAGCUCCUGCUGCAUAGGGGGGGUUGGAAAGUUUGGGCGGUGCGGGAUGGAUUCGCGGGUUAUCAGCUUGUUGGGGGGGUAGGGGCUUACAAAGGGUUUGACGGGUAGCCCGCCUGAGAGGGUGAACGGCCACAUUGGUACUGAGAGACGCACCAGACUCCUACGGGCGGCAGCAGUGGGAAAUAUUGCACAAUGGGCGGAAGCCUGAUGCAGCAACGCCGCGUGCGGGAUGACCGCCUUCGGGUUGUAAACCGCUUUCUACUGUGACGAAGCGUGAGUGACGGUAAUGGGUAAAGAAGCACCGGCUAACUACGUG
rnacentral:rRNA from 1 species